rnacentral:snRNA from 1 species
GUCCUCGCUUAGGCAGCACAUAUAGUAAAAAGUUGGAAUGAUACAGAGAUUAGCAUGGCCCCUGCACAAGGAUGACACGCAAAUUUAUGAAGCCUUUCAUAUUUUU